UCCUACGGGAGGCAGCAGUGGGGAAUAUUGCACAAUGGGCGCAAGCCUGAUGCAGCCAUGCCGCGUGUAUGAAGAAGGCCUUCGGGUUGUAAAGUACUUUCAGCGGGGAGGAAGGCGUUGAGGUUAAUAACCUCAGCGAUUGACGUUACCCGCAGAAGAAGCACCGGCUAACUCCGUGCCAGCAGCCGCGGUAAUA
rnacentral:rRNA from 1 species